rnacentral:rRNA from 1 species
CCUACGGGAGGCAGCAGUGAGGAAUAUUGGUCAAUGGACGAGAGUCUGACCCAGCCAAGUCGCGUGAAUGAUGACUGCCCUAUGGGUUGUAAACUUCUUUUAUAUGGGAAUAAAAUGUUCCACGUGUGGGAUUUUGUAUGUACCAUAUGAAUAAGGAUCGGCUCACUCCGUGCCAGCAGCCGCGGUAAUACGGAGGAUCCGAGCGUUAUCCGGCUUUAUUGGGUUUAAAGGGAGCGUAGGUGGAUUGGUAAGUCAGUUGUGAAAGUUUGCGGCUCAACCGUAAAAUUGCAGUUGAAACUGGCAGUCUUGAGUACAGUAGAGGUGGGCGGAAUUCGUGGUGUAGCGGUGAAAUGCUUAGAUAUUACGAAGAACUCCGAUUGCGAAGGCAGCUCACUGGACUGCAACUGACACUGAGGCGCGAAAGUGUGGGGAUCAAACAGGAUUAGAUACCCGAGUAGUC